UAUUAACUAUUACAUGUUGAAUAAAUCCUGGUGAACAAUACAUUAAUUAAGACAUAUUUAAAAAAAAACUAUAAAUUAACUACAUAUUUACAGAUGCUGUAAAUUAAUUAUGAUGUGCGUGUGUGCGUGCGUGUGUGCGUGCUCGUGUAUGAGCUAUAUGAUCACAUUUUGAUCCUUUAUGUUAUCUACAUUGAUUCAUGAUUAAAUCAAAUCCAGAACGUAGAAUUAACGUAAGACUAGAAACGUAAGAAUUAACCCCAUCUUAAUUAUUUAAUUAUUAUCACUUGCUUUUAUGGUAAAUAGUUAAUAAAUCCAUGUUUGAUUUUGAACCCAUACGCUGUCACUUUAAGGAGGGGGAGGUGCAUGACGUCAAAACUAUGCGGAAGUCACUCAGACAGCAAGCGCGUGCUGCGGCUAGCUGUUGUGUGAUUAAUUGAACACAUCGAUUCAACAAGAAAUUUGAGUUAUCUUUUCACAAACUGCUAAAGCUACAGAGAAGAGAAACGGAGAAGAGAAGCAAAACAGGAAGAGAUUUUUCUGCGAUGCAAAGAAACAACCAAAGCCAGGCACAUGGAUUAACAGUUGCCAUUUUGUGUUAAAUAAGUAACGUUAACCUCUGUUCCUGUAUCUGGUACUAAUAAUUCUGACAACAUCUUCAUCCACCAAACUCAGAACCGCAUCUCUCAACAGUCUAAAUAGGUUCUCAGCUUCGGAGCACAUCGCCAGCAGAGACUCUGGUUUGAUGCCUCUCUUGAACUCCUGAGCAGCCUGGUGAACCAACGUUCCCUGGUUCUGAGAGAUGGUGGUGCCCAGUGCUUUAAGUGGCCCAGAAGAGGUGCCGGUACUAUUUUUUUUUUUUUUUUUUGCUGACUCCUAUAUUGAAGGGGUUUUAUUCAGCAGUCAACAGAAGACCUUGUAAAAAAUAAUAAAUCCUUUUAUAAGUUUGUGGAUUUGCUUGAGCUAGAAAUAGCUACUGAACAUAAAUAAAAUGUGCAAAAGGAUUUUGAAAAAAUACCAUUAGAAAUAGCUAUUGUAGAAAGAGCUUUUGAACAUAAAUAAAAUGUGCAAAAGGUAGAUAUGUGAGUAAAAUUUUCAGCAUGGUUAAAUGCUAAAAAUAGUUGUUCAGAUAGAAAGAGCUUGAAAAAAACUUUAAAAUGACAUGAAGACCAUGUCUAUGGGUUCAAGAAUAACAAAAUACUGGCCAUUUGAAACUCGAAAGUCAUUUAUUUUGUCCCAUUGUUUUCCAUUUUGCGGGUGGUAAAACUACUGUGCACGUCGUUCAAAUUCUCAUUCACUUGUAGUUUAGCAAUUAAACUAAAUGUAUAUUACAAUUUCAAGAAUGUUUUCUGCACAUCGCCCUUAGGAAAUCCGAAGAGGGGAACCAAACUGACAGCCGCGACAGCGGAGAUUAUCACGUACCUACAAACAGGUAUUGGAUAAAGUUUGCGUCUGACCUGCAGCUAUCAUUCUGGCUUGGUGGGAUGUCAGCCAGCAUGUCCUCUGAUACUGACCUUGUUCUUUUACUACUCAGAGUCUAAAACAAGGAGGGCAUAUUAAGUGUUCAUUGUAUUUUCAUUUUAACCGAGCAGCUAUGGUUGCGCGUUUCACACACAAACACACACACCUCUCCAGUCCAGAGCACGUUGACUGACCGACGCAUGCGCUUUUAACUUGUAAACACAAGGGUGUAUGGGUAAUGUAGUGUAAGGGUGGAUUCACUACAGUGGUUCACUCUGUAGGAACGCCGAAAUGACUGAGAAAUGUUAACAGCAAGAUAUUAUAAAACUGUGUAUUUCUGGUCAAUUAUCACCCUUCUGCAACAUAUACCAACGACGGAAAUAAGUGCAGUUAUAAUAGCAAAAUAUGUGGGAGAGCAUUGCUAGAAUAUAAAUAUAUUGAAUUGCAAUAUGUAGCGUUUAAAUAUUAACACUAAGGGGCAGUUUCCCGGACCAGGAUUAGCUUAAUCCAGGACUAGGUCUUAGUUUAAUUAGGAAAUAUAAGUAGUUUUAACAAACAUGCCUUACUAAAAACAUUACCUGUGUGCAUUUUGAGGUAAAACAAAGGGCCCUGAUGUAUUUGAAGAUAUGUAAGUGCAAGUUGUUUUCAGUUUGGAGAGCUCUUAAAAGUGUUUAAGUCUAGGACUAGUCUAAUCCCUGUCCGCGAAACCGCCCAUAAAUCAAAACUGAACAACAGAUUUGUAAAUGAAAAGGUUUAAUAACAGUACUGACUUAAAGUUACAAUUGAAAUGGUUACACGAUAAAUGCAUGAAAUGGUACUUAAUACAAACAAUUAACUGUUUCCAAUGUAUGUGAGAUAUUACCUGAUAAGAAAGAGAAAGAAAUAAAGUUUAGAAGAAAGAGAAUGACCAUUAAGAACUGUAGGUAACACUUUAGAAUACGGAUCCAUUAUUAAUGAAUAACUGCACAGGAACAAAUGAGUAAUUAAACAAUAUUAAUCUAGUAACUACUGUUAACUAACACAAAACUCUGAUUAACGAACUGGUAAGUAAUAGCACACAGAUGAAUGUGGUAGUUCACUAUUAACUUAUCAGUAACUACUAUUUUUUCAUACUUCCUAAAGAACUACUGAGAAGUUUCAUAAUUCACGCAAAACUAAACGAUAACUAAUAUAGGACAAAUGACUAACACAACAUUAACACAUUUACUACUGUAAACUAAUACACAAAACUGUUUAUAUUAUCAUUAUCAAUAGGUAAAAGCAGACUUGUUCUCAUUGAAUCAUUGAACGACUACUGGAACUUAUAGAUUCAUCAACCAUCCAAAUGCCUAUACAGUGAUUUUUUUUCUUACCUGUCAAAAAAUAUGUUUUAUGUAUGGCUUCAAGCUAAUAUGUGAAUAGUCUGUGAAUGGUUAAGAUUAUCCACUUUAAGAUUAGCUUUCCAUUAACUACUAUAUGAAUAACGGUAACCCGCUAGUAAUGACUCAAGUGUUACUACAUCAUUAAGUAAUUACUAUUUUUUGGGAUCAGUAUUCUAAAGUGAAGAUCAUGGUAACCCGCUAGUAAUGACUCAAGUGUUACUACAUCAUUCUAAAGUAAUUACAAAUUUUUGGGAUC